rnacentral:tRNA from 1 species
GUGCCUGUAGCUUAGCUUGGAUAAAGCGUUGGUCUCCGAAGCCAAAGAUCGUGCGUUCGAAUCGCAUCAGGCACG